AAUCUAAUAUGAGUUUGAUCCUGGCUCAGGGUGAACGCUAGUAGUAUGCUUUACACAUGCAAGUUGAACGGAAGAAAAUUAAAAGCUUUCGUAGCGAACGGGUGAGUAAUAUGCAGUAAAUCUGCCUUUUAAUUCAGGACAUGGCAUAUUCAAUUUUUUGAAGAAAAAGUUUGCAAAAGCUUUUUGUUAAUACUGAAUAAAGUUUUAUCAAAUAAACUAAAAACUGUAUUUUUAUGAUUUUUACAGUUGUUAAAAGAUGAUGCUGCGUAAGAUUAGGUUGUUGGUAGUGUUUAAAGACUACCAAGCCAUCGAUCUUUAGUUGAUCUUAGAGGAUGAUCAACCACACUGGAACUGAGACAAGGUCCAGGCCUAACUUUGGCCAGCAGUGAGGAAUAUUGGACAAUGAACGAAAGUUUGAUCCAGCAAUACUACUUGAAUGAUUGAAGGCCUGUUUUUGGGUUGUAAAGUUCUUUCGGUAAAAAUGAUAAUGACAAUUUACAAAAGUUUUUAGUCCCGGCUAAUACUCGUGCCAGCAGCCGCGGUAAUACGGGAGGGGCAAGCGUUAUCCAUCAUGACUGGGCGUAAAGGGUCCGUAGACGGUGACGUAAGUUAUAUAUUAAAUUUUAAAGCUCAACUUUAAAUCAGUAUAUAAAACUGCAUCACUUGAGUUUUAUUCAGAAGAGUAGAAUUUCGUAUGAUAGGGGUAAAAUCCGUUUAACAUACCGAAGGAACACCAGAAAGUGAAGACGACUCUUUAGUAAAAACUGACGUUGAGGGACGAAAGUGUAGGGAGCAAACAGGAUUAGAUACCCUGGUAGUCUACACUGUAAAUACUGAGUGCUGUAGCUCAACAAGUUAAUAAAAUAAAAUUUUAUGGUAUACAAAAUAAUACAUUGUUUGGGUUUUUAAGCUAACGCCAGAAGCACUCCGCCUGAGGAGUACGAUCGCAAGGUUGGAACUCAACGGAACUGACGGGGGCCUACUACUAGUGGUGGAGCAUGUGGUUUAAUGCGAUAAUCCGCGCAAAACCUUACCAACCCUUGAAUAAGAUAUUAAAAUAAUUGUUACAGUUCUUAAAUACCCAAAAUGUAAUAAUUAUACAAAAUGUUUUACAGGUGUUGCACGACUGUCGUCAGCUCGUGUUGUGAAACUUGGUUAACUCCAGUAACAGGCGCAACUCUUACCUUUUAAGUUUUAAUAUUACUUUUUUAAAAAUGUUUUAAUUUUGCUUUAAAGAUACUGUCAAUGAUAAGUUGAAGGAAGGUAAGAAUCAAGUCAAGUCAAGGUGGCCCUUAUGGGUUGGGCUACACAUGUGCUACAAUGAAAACUACAAUAAGUUACAAAAAUUCGUAGAAUUCUAGUCAAUCUUUAAAAGUUUUCCCAGUUCGGAUUGUAGACUGCAACUCGUCUACAUAAAGUUGGAAUCACUAGUAAUCGCAAAUCAGCACGUUGCGGUGAAUACGUACUUAGGCCUUGUACACACCGCCCGUCACAUGCAGAGAGUUAGUUUUGCUUGAUGAUGCUCGAAUCAAAAGUUCGUACGUCUAUUGGGAACUAAUUAUUUGGAUGAAGUCGUAACAAGGUAGCUGUACGGGAACGUGUAGCUGGAAAU
rnacentral:rRNA from 1 species